CGUGACUGUGACAAUGUGUAAAUCGAAAUUGAAUCACAGAAAAAUGGCUUCGAGCGCAAGUCAGCUGAAAAGAACGAGAGUCCAUAUAAUAGGAAACCAUUGCAGUGCUGUAAACUUGGGUAGCCAAAAUAUAUGCGUGCGCGUUGUGUCGUAAACGUAAAGCCUAAGACAAGGCACCGCAACCACUAUGCACUAAUGUUUUCUGCGCACAAAAGAUCACAACAACAAAAGGAUUCAAAGCCAUAUGAAGCGAUGAAUUGCGAAAAUAGCCAGGAUGUGUCGAUCGAAUUGCAUGUAGAGAUAUUAAAAAAAAACUCAAUACUUAAUAUCAAUGCUGUGGGGUUUUGAUUCCCUUCGCUAGACCUAAUGUUUACACGAGUCAUCGAAAACGCGGGAAUGUAAGGAAUUCGUGAGAACAACAAACGCCAACAUGCGAAGGUCCGGAAGAAAUGAGCGCCGCCAACGGAGGGCAAAGAUUUGGAGUCCUUGCUAACAAAUGGCAGUGUUCUCCGAUACUGCAUCGUGUUACAACAGUAAAGCGUUGAGAGAACUACUCGAACAUCGACAUACCUUUUUAUCCUCUUGGCCAUUUCUCAUUUUGUCGCCAGAGGCUUCAGUUGGCGUAUCUACAGCGUUACUACCGCCAUCUGGAGUAGAAUUUCCUCGAUUAGUACUAGAGCUAGGGUCUUCUUCGGUCUUACUAUUUCCUCCAGUACCCCUCUCCACAGGCUUGGUUCCCGCAGCAGAUCCAUCUGUUGUCAUAGUGGAGUGAGAAGGACUAAACGAUUCGUUCAUUCUACGGUUUCUCGCCGCUUUAGUGACCGUCACGGGAAGAUUGCGUGUUCUUCAUACCACGAACACGAGCCCUGUGAAAUAAUCAAAUCGAAUUUAGCGCGAGUUCAGCAGAGUUAACACCGGAGCGCGCGCGGCUAGCUUCUAAUCACACACAACAUGAGCAAAGAUCGAGUACUUCGAACCGUCAACAGCACGCGAGAAACAGAGGCGGGGGCUGCAGGCAAAGUCCCAACACAACAAAAGUACCACAUCACUGAAGUUGGCAUUAACCUUGGAAGUACUGUACCGACAUCAAGGGGCUCGACACAGGGAGACAACGAACGUAAACAAAUCACACGUGGUGGUAGGGAAGGUUAGAGAUUCGUGGUGUUCUACUUCUGCGAGAACAACAAAGCGGUGUUCUCUCAAUAAAGUGUCGUUUUUCCGAAGUGCCUCGCACCAGGGACAAAUAACGUAUCGCAAGCCAGCCCAUCACUGACAUCUUACCCGAAUUCUGCAGUGCUCUGCCAAGCGAGGCUCACGAACAUGAACGAUCAAGGCUCAGAGAAUGCUUUACCUUUCUACUUCAAUACACGCAAUCUUACGGCUGUAAUCUAGAAUUCCAUGAAAUUACUAUAUCUUCAAACUACAAGACACGUGAUAAGAUUUGGACCAAUCAGUAUACUGGCGGGAAUAAGCACUAGCGUUUGCUGUUAAUCACUAGGCAUUAUCGCCCAAUAGUCGGUGCACAGCGCCAGAAAGUGUCCUCGCGCAAGGUGUAUUUGAAUUACAAGACAAUCAGCCGACCACCUCUACUCACAAGGAUAUGCGAGGUGUGAAAAAGACGAUUUCCCGCGCUAGCGUGUUCCCGCUUGUUGUUCAAAAUGCUCCUACUGCUCGCUAUUGUAUUCGAGCCGUCGUCUGUCAAUUGUGGGUCAUGUAUGACAUGGUUCUGACCAAUAGGAGUGCAUCGGUGCAGUGUUUAUCCUCUCGUGUUUCGUAUAAUGAGAAGCAGAGGAAAUGUUUCGUUCGAGCUGUUCGACAGGUCAGGUCAUUCGAGCAAGGCACGAAGCAGAGUUAAAACUAGUACUACACAUUUUACACAUUUCUUUACUGGUAAAAACACAGUUAUAUUGACAGAAAAGUAAAGCGGCGUUGGUUGAUUUUAGAUAUUUCUAGAUGUGGUUUAUAGCAAAUCUAAAUUCAGUAACGAUUUUUUUCUUUUUUUUUUUUCUCGCAAUUUAAAAUUUUGGAAUCCUGGAAUGACCUGAUGAUUUGUCGCAGUCUCACAGUAACAGAUAAAAGCCGACAAAAGACUUGCAAAAGGCCAUUUUGUAUCAAUAAUUGAUGUGCUUUGCAUUCACUUAGCUCGGAGCAAUUUACCCGAGCUGGUACCAGAAAUACAACGAUGAACUGACAGUGAAGAAAAGAAGAAAAGACGGGAGACUUCUCUGACUUACGAGAGUAAAGCUCUUUUAGUAGUUUUAAUAAACUUUACCUCCUAAUAGAACAUUAUAUUUUCUAGUAAAUGAAAUGGGCUUAAGUAAUCGGAGUGCGGUCGACUUUGUGAACGAAAUCAAGAGUCGGUAAUUAAACAUCUAAUUGAUCAUGA